rnacentral:lncRNA from 1 species
GCAAAUCCAUGAUAUCUAAUAAUGAAGCACAAACACUUCAUUCCCUCUCUCCUUCUUCAUCUUCAUCCUCAUCUUCAUUCAAUUCAUAAAAAAUCCAGAAAAAUCAUCAUCAACAAGAUCUAGAAAAAAAUCACAAAACAACUCAAAAAUUCAUUAACAAAAUAAAUCAACAACAACAAAAUCCACAAUUCCCAAAUUUGCACAUCAUUCCCAAAUUUACAUUUCAUCUUUCCAUUAACUGAGAUUUGAAAAAAAGAUUGCAACCACAAAAAGGAUUAUACACGGCGAAUUAACUGUGGUUUGCGGUGGUGCACGGCGAAUUCGCGACGGAGGAGGUGGUUGCGGCGGUGUGCGGCGGAAACCUCUCCUUCUUUUCUUUCCUCUGCUUCUUCUUGCUUGUUCUGAUUUAUGUUCUUUGAUUUUGACUGUGUUUGAUGGUUUUUUAUGCGAGUGAAUGGUUUAAGGUGGUCGUGAUUUGUUGUUACAGUGGUGGUUGUUGUUGAAGAGUAAAGUCUAAUGGUAGAGAUGAAGAAGGUGAGAGGUGAUUAAGGUUUGGUGUUGUAAGAAUGGUGGUGCGUGUUUUAUUUUCU